rnacentral:tmRNA from 1 species
GGGAGCGCAAUGGCUUCGACGGGGAGUGUGAGCUUGGGUAAGCGGGCAGUGGCUUUGCGGAACCACUAUAAAAUCCGUAAACUUUAAAUAAUAAACGACAACAAUUAUCCUGUUGCCCUUGCCGCUUAAUUAGGCAAGCGUUCCUUGCAGAAGUACCACGGUCUGUUUGGGGCGUCGAUUAGUGGUGAACAUGAACGAAUGUCUGGCUCGCCUUUCGUCACGACUCAGAGCCUACCGAAACGAUCUGCCUGUCUGUCGGCGGUUCGUCUGGGGAAUCUUUAUUGACUGACUGCGCCCGGAGAAAUCCUUUGUAAGUGCUUUUCGGACAGGGGUUCGAUUCCCCUCGCUUCCACCA